rnacentral:rRNA from 1 species
GAUGAACGCUGGCGGCGUGCCUAAUACAUGCAAGUCGAGCGAACAGACGAGGAGCUUGCUCCUCUGACGUUAGCGGCGGACGGGUGAGUAACACGUGGAUAACCUACCUAUAAGACUGGGAUAACUUCGGGAAACCGGAGCUAAUACCGGAUAAUAUAUUGAACCGCAUGGUUCAAUAGUGAAAGACGAUUUUGCUGUCACUUAUAGAUGGAUCCGCGCCGCAUUAGCUAGUUGGUAAGGUAACGGCUUACCAAGGCAACGAUGCGUAGCCGACCUGAGAGGGUGAUCGGCCACACUGGAACUGAGACACGGUCCAGACUCCUACGGGAGGCAGCAGUAGGGAAUCUUCCGCAAUGGGCGAAAGCCUGACGGAGCAACGCCGCGUGAGUGAUGAAGGUCUUCGGAUCGUAAAACUCUGUUAUUAGGGAAGAACAAAUGUGUAAGUAACUAUGCACGUCUUGACGGUACCUAAUCAGAAAGCCACGGCUAACUACGUG